AUGGGUCGGGGGAAGGUGGAGAUGAGGCGGAUCGAGAACAAGAUAAGCCGGCAGGUGACGUUCGCCAAGCGCCGGAAUGGGCUGCUCAAGAAGGCCUACGAGCUCUCGCUGCUCUGCGACGCCGAGGUCGCCCUCAUCAUCUUCUCCGGCCGCGGCCGCCUCUUCGAGUUCUCAAGCUCCUCAUGCAUGUACAAAACACUUGAGAGAUACCGUACCUGCAACUCCAACUCACAAGAAGCAGCACCUCCGCUAGAAAAUGAAGAGCAAGAAUUGCAGGAUGAAAACAAAGACUUGAGGAAGAAGUUGCAAGAUACCACCAGCAGCUGCGGAGAGAAUGCGGUCCAUAUGUCCUGGCAAGACGGAGGGCAGUCUAGCUCCAGAGUACUCCAACACCCGGAGCAUGAUACCUCCAUGCAAAUUGGGUAUCCUCAGGCCUACAUGGACCAGCUGAACAGCAGAGAUCACGUGGCUUCUGAACGCCCUGGUGGAGGAUCGUCUGCAGGGUGGAUAUGA
rnacentral:rRNA from 1 species